AUACGGAGGGUGCAAGCGUUAUCCGGAUUCACUGGGUUUAAAGGGUGCGUAGGCGGGUUGAUAAGUCAGUGGUGAAAGCUCCGAGCUUAACUUGGAAACUGCCAUUGAUACUGUCAGUCUUGAAUGUCGUAGAGGUAAGCGGAAUGUUGCAUGUAGCGGUGAAAUGCUUAGAUAUGUUACAGAACACCAAUUGCGAAGGCAGCUUACUAUGCGAUAAUUGACGCUGAGGCACGAAAGCGUGGGGAGCAAACAGGAUUAGAUACCCUGGUAGUCCACGCCCUAAACGAUGAUUACUCGAUGUUGGCGAUACACAGUCAGCGUCCUAGCGAAAGCGUUAAGUAAUCCACCUGGGGAGUACGCUCGCAAGAGUGAA
rnacentral:rRNA from 1 species